GUUUCAUUGAAUUUGGCUGGGUAGCUUCAGAGAAGAUGUUUUUUAAGAAAUUGUUGACGGAUGGACGGACGGACAAUGGACAAAGACUGAUCACAAUAGCUCACCUUGAGAACUUCAUGCUCUGAAGCCACAUUACACAGAAGAGUUUCAUAUGCGCAAUUUGAUUGCAUCAGCUCCAUCAACAGAAUUCACAGCAAAGUUAUUGGAGCAUUUCCUAGAUCACCAAGGAAACACAUGUCCACCAUCUCCACUCGGUUAACCCCAGGAAACUCUGAUGGAGGCAUUUUGGGAACAAACAGACGCAUGGGCAGAUGGACGGCAGUUCCAACAUCCUAAUGUUUACAAAAUCACAAACAACAAACGUCGAUGCAGAUGGACAAACGGACAGAAAGAGAUAUAGGGUAAAACUGUUGAAGUCGCGUUUGGAAAUCUGUAAAUGGACAGUCUAGCGUCAUGGUCAAAGAAUCCAGCUGUUUCUGUGCACAUUGCUUGUCAGGUGAACGUUGCAGCACAUGGAAGGAGGAACAAACUCUUAAACGGAAUCAGGUAGCAGUUGAAACUGCAUUGGUCAAAAAUCUAACAGAACCCGAACAAUAUGUGGCAACACAUAUAGAUAUCAACGUUGAUGGUUACGUUGCUGUAGUGUUUGAGACCAAUUGGUAUGUCGGGAAAGUAGUAUACAUCGGUAUGGAAGAUGACGAGACUGAAAUUUCCUUCAUGGUCAGGUAAAGGGAACUUUAUUAGUGGCCGAGGCCAACAGACAAAAUAUGGAUUGGAAAGGGUGAUGUAUUGAGUGUUAUCCAAGCUCCUAUAGGGACAGGUAAAACAAAAAAGAAUGUUUAAACUGGCCGACUCCGAUCAUGACAAAUGCACACAGUUAUACCCAGAUGGAAUAUAGGUCACAGGUGUGGUACAUUGUUUUCUUGACCAUCAAACUAACAAAUCAUGAUUAAGUAAUGUUCAAUACAACGAAGUAUUUUCAAGCAAUUUGCUCUGUAUAUUUUGAUUAAUCAAAUACAAAUAUUCAGAUAUAGUUAAUUCCAAUCAAACAUUAGACAAUGACAUUUGUUUAGAUAUAUAUUUACGCAGAGAAAUUUACAAAUUCACGUAAUCUGUGAGAUGUGUAAUGUUCGAUACAUCCAAAACAUGGUGC